UUAUUUUGUUAUAAUAAAAGACGUUCAUGACUGAGAUGUUUGUAAAAAGGUCCGGAGACCACGGUGCACAGGUGUAUGAAGGGAAAAGUGCUUGCGCACAUCUCUAAUGAUCCUUCCGCAGGUUCACCUACGGAAA
rnacentral:misc_RNA from 1 species